rnacentral:rRNA from 1 species
UGCAAGUCGAGGGGCAGCAUGGUCUUAGCUUGCUAAGGCCGAUGGCGACCGGCGCACGGGUGAGUAACACGUAUCCAACCUGCCGUCUACUCUUGGACAGCCUUCUGAAAGGAAGAUUAAUACAAGAUGGCAUCAUGAGUCCGCAUGUUCACAUGAUUAAAGGUAUUCCGGUAGACGAUGGGGAUGCGUUCCAUUAGAUAGUAGGCGGGGUAACGGCCCACCUAGUCUUCGAUGGAUAGGGGUUCUGAGAGGAAGGUCCCCCACAUUGGAACUGAGACACGGUCCAAACUCCUACGGGAGGCAGCAGUGAGGAAUAUUGGUCAAUGGGCGCAGGCCUGAACCAGCCAAGUAGCGUGAAGGAUGACUGCCCUAUGGGUUGUAAACUUCUUUUAUAAAGGAAUAAAGUCGGGUAUGUAUACCCGUUUGCAUGUACUUUAUGAAUAAGGAUCGGCUAACUCCGUGCCAGCAGCCGCGGUAAUACGGAGGAUCCGAGCGUUAUCCGGAUUUAUUGGGUUUAAAGGGAGCGUAGAUGGAUGUUUAAGUCAGUUGUGAAAGUUUGCGGCUCAACCGUAAAAUUGCAGUUGAUACUGGAUAUCUUGAGUGCAGUUGAGGCAGGCGGAAUUCGUGGUGUAGCGGUGAAAUGCUUAGAUAUCACGAAGAACUCCGAUUGCGAAGGCAGCCUGCUAAGCUGCAACUGACAUUGAGGCUCGAAAGUGUGGGUAUCA